rnacentral:rRNA from 1 species
UUAAGCGACUAAGCGUACACGGUGGAUGCCCUGGCAGUCAGAGGCGAUGAAGGACGUGCUAAUCUGCGAUAAGCGUCGGUGAGGUGAUAUGAACCGUUAUAACCGGCGAUUUCCGAAUGGGGAAACCCAGUGUGUUUCGACACACUAUCAUUAACUGAAUCCAUAGGUUAAUGAGGCGAACCGGGGGAACUGAAACAUCUAAGUACCCCGAGGAAAAGAAAUCAACCGAGAUUCCCCCAGUAGCGGCGAGCGAACGGGGAGGAGCCCAGAGCCUGAAUCAGUGUGUGUGUUAGUGGAAGCGUCUGGAAAGGCGUGCGAUACAGGGUGACAGCCCCGUACACAAAAAUGCACAUAUUGUGAGCUCGAUGAGUAGGGCGGGACACGUGGUAUCCUGUCUGAAUAUGGGGGGACCAUCCUCCAAGGCUAAAUACUCCUGACUGACCGAUAGUGAACCAGUACCGUGAGGGAAAGGCGAAAAGAACCCCGGCGAGGGGAGUGAAAAAGAACCUGAAACCGUGUACGUACAAGCAGUGGGAGCCUCUUAAUGGGGUGACUGCGUACCUUUUGUAUAAUGGGUCAGCGACUUAUAUUCUGUAGCAAGGUUAACCGAAUAGGGGAGCCGAAGGGAAACCGAGUCUUAACUGGGCGUUAAGUUGCAGGGUAUAGACCCGAAACCCGGUGAUCUAGCCAUGGGCAGGUUGAAGGUUGGGUAACACUAACUGGAGGACCGAACCGACUAAUGUUGAAAAAUUAGCGGAUGACUUGUGGCUGGGGGUGAAAGGCCAAUCAAACCGGGAGAUAGCUGGUUCUCCCCGAAAGCUAUUUAGGUAGCGCCUCGUGAAUUCAUCUCCGGGGGUAGAGCACUGUUUCGGCAAGGGGGUCAUCCCGACUUACCAACCCGAUGCAAACUGCGAAUACCGGAGAAUGUUAUCACGGGAGACACACGGCGGGUGCUAACGUCCGUCGUGAAGAGGGAAACAACCCAGACCGCCAGCUAAGGUCCCAAAGUCAUGGUUAAGUGGGAAACGAUGUGGGAAGGCCCAGACAGCCAGGAUGUUGGCUUAGAAGCAGCCAUCAUUUAAAGAAAGCGUAAUAGCUCACUGGUCGAGUCGGCCUGCGCGGAAGAUGUAACGGGGCUAAACCAUGCACCGAAGCUGCGGCAGCGACACUAUGUGUUGUUGGGUAGGGGAGCGUUCUGUAAGCCUGUGAAGGUGGCCUGUGAGGGUUGCUGGAGGUAUCAGAAGUGCGAAUGCUGACAUAAGUAACGAUAAAGCGGGUGAAAAGCCCGCUCGCCGGAAGACCAAGGGUUCCUGUCCAACGUUAAUCGGGGCAGGGUGAGUCGACCCCUAAGGCGAGGCCGAAAGGCGUAGUCGAUGGGAAACAGGUUAAUAUUCCUGUACUUGGUGUUACUGCGAAGGGGGGACGGAGAAGGCUAUGUUGGCCGGGCGACGGUUGUCCCGGUUUAAGCGUGUAGGCUGGUUUUCCAGGCAAAUCCGGAAAACCAAGGCUGAGGCGUGAUGACGAGGCACUACGGUGCUGAAGUGACAAAUGCCCUGCUUCCAGGAAAAGCCUCUAAGCAUCAGGUAACAUCAAAUCGUACCCCAAACCGACACAGGUGGUCAGGUAGAGAAUACCAAGGCGCUUGAGAGAACUCGGGUGAAGGAACUAGGCAAAAUGGUGCCGUAACUUCGGGAGAAGGCACGCUGAUAUGUAGGUGAAGCGACUUGCUCGUGGAGCUGAAAUCAGUCGAAGAUACCAGCUGGCUGCAACUGUUUAUUAAAAACACAGCACUGUGCAAACACGAAAGUGGACGUAUACGGUGUGACGCCUGCCCGGUGCCGGAAGGUUAAUUGAUGGGGUUAGCGGUAACGCGAAGCUCUUGAUCGAAGCCCCGGUAAACGGCGGCCGUAACUAUAACGGUCCUAAGGUAGCGAAAUUCCUUGUCGGGUAAGUUCCGACCUGCACGAAUGGCGUAAUGAUGGCCAGGCUGUCUCCACCCGAGACUCAGUGAAAUUGAACUCGCUGUGAAGAUGCAGUGUACCCGCGGCAAGACGGAAAGACCCCGUGAACCUUUACUAUAGCUUGACACUGAACAUUGAGCCUUGAUGUGUAGGAUAGGUGGGAGGCUUUGAAGUGUGGACGCCAGUCUGCAUGGAGCCGACCUUGAAAUACCACCCUUUAAUGUUUGAUGUUCUAACGUUGGCCCGUAAUCCGGGUUGCGGACAGUGUCUGGUGGGUAGUUUGACUGGGGCGGUCUCCUCCUAAAGAGUAACGGAGGAGCACGAAGGUUGGCUAAUCCUGGUCGGACAUCAGGAGGUUAGUGCAAUGGCAUAAGCCAGCUUGACUGCGAGCGUGACGGCGCGAGCAGGUGCGAAAGCAGGUCAUAGUGAUCCGGUGGUUCUGAAUGGAAGGGCCAUCGCUCAACGGAUAAAAGGUACUCCGGGGAUAACAGGCUGAUACCGCCCAAGAGUUCAUAUCGACGGCGGUGUUUGGCACCUCGAUGUCGGCUCAUCACAUCCUGGGGCUGAAGUAGGUCCCAAGGGUAUGGCUGUUCGCCAUUUAAAGUGGUACGCGAGCUGGGUUUAGAACGUCGUGAGACAGUUCGGUCCCUAUCUGCCGUGGGCGCUGGAGAACUGAGGGGGGCUGCUCCUAGUACGAGAGGACCGGAGUGGACGCAUCACUGGUGUUCGGGUUGUCAUGCCAAUGGCACUGCCCGGUAGCUAAAUGCGGAAGAGAUAAGUGCUGAAAGCAUCUAAGCACGAAACUUGCCCCGAGAUGAGUUCUCCCUGACUCCUUGAGGGUCCUGAAGGAACGUUGAAGACGACGACGUUGAUAGGCCGGGUGUGUAAGCGCAGCGAUGCGUUGAGCUAACCGGUACUAAUGAACCGUGAGGCUUAACCU